GGAGUCGACCGGGCAGCCGCCGGGAGAUUCGUGUAAUGUCCCGGAGGAAAGUCCGGGCUCCACAGGGCAGGGUGCCAGGUAACACCUGGGGGGCGCGAGCCCACGGAAAGUGCCACAGAAAACAGACCGCCUACCCCCGCACGAACUUUUGGGUGCACCCCAAGAUUCGGUGGGGCGGCAAGGGUGAAAAGGUGCGGUAAGAGCGCACCGCGCUGGUGGCAACACACAGCGGCACGGCAAACCCCACCCGGAGCAAGACCAAGUAGGGGGGCGCAAUGUGGCCCGCAACGGCCCCCGGGUAGGUUGCUAGAGGUGUGUGGCGACACACGCCCCAGAGGAAUGGCUGUCCCCGACAGAACCCGGCUUACAGGUCGGCUCCCCCG
rnacentral:RNase_P_RNA from 1 species